AAUUGCAAAAUGGGAAUGGAAACCUUGGUCCGUCUGGUGUUUGUUUGAGCACUGUCAGGCAGAAGUCUGUGCAAAAAGAGCAGAGGGUCCAUCUUGAAGAUCACUAAGAAAAGCCUGGAGUUUGUUGCCAAAGGUGAUGACAAUGAUUCACAAAAAAGUGUCAAUUUCUGUGGAGAUUACCGCUAUGGAAACUAAAGAGCAGGCUGGAACUGGAAGGGAAGUUGAAAAGCACCCAUGCAUCUGUGGACGAGGGGAUCACAGCCUGUGGCAGAGCACCUCAGCUUCCCUCGCUCUUGGAUGUGUUCAUCACACUGAACCCACAGCCCCAUGUGGGAUGCAGAGUAAUGCCCAUUGCAUAUGUACCAACGAAGUUAUAGACGUCAAGAGAGACCGUUUGUUUAUUUUAUCAAGAUCAUCUCCGGCAGUAUUUGAUUUCUCAUCAAACUUAUUUGCGCUCUCCCUCAACUUCAUGGAGAUCUCAGUUCCAUUCUCUAAAUUGUCUAGAAAACACCAUCUUGUAUAGGUCAGGCAUACUAUGGAUUCUGGACUCUUGGCAAUAUUUGUCCUUCUAUUUUGACAGUGAAUUAAUGUUAUCUGCUGUAUCAGUAUGAUUUUUUCAGUUGAUUUUGCACACAUUUGAUAUUAGAUUCUUUCAAAGAGUCAUUGUCAACAGUGUUGAGAACACAUCAAUUAUAGGUGUGGUACUCAAAAGCAAACAAGACUUUAUAUGUAUUGAGAGAACAUAACGUACAACAAUUACUGGUUUUCCUUCAAUCCACAGGUCCACUCAAUAGCUAAAAAAAGAAAUUAAAUUGGAUCUUGACAAAUCCAUAGAUUGAUUCAAAAAUCCAGGUGUGCUUUUUUCCUUCCUUUGUAAUCCUUGCAAAUUGUCAUAAAAAGCCACUUUUGGCUACUUCUCCAUAACUCCAAACAACUGAGUUAAACUGGUUAGUCAAUAAUUCUUUGGCCUCCUUUUCAAGGUAUGUCAUAUUUGCUUUUAUCUGCUUUUGAGUACUUCACCCAAAAAUCACGUAUUCUGUGAGACCACCAUCAAUGGUUACAGGAGUAGAUCACCCAGUUGCUGAAGCAUUCCAGGAUGAAAGUUAGUUCUUUGGAAUCAACAGAUAAGAAAAUGUGAAGCCAAGCAAAGUGCUCUCUAACCUAUCUUUGUCUGAGGGACGGAUUAUUUCCUUUGCUAUUGAUUUUAAUUGUAGAAGCCACUUUUUAGGGAAUAUUGAUUAAAGAAAUAAAAAAAGAAAAGCAUUAUGUAUAUUACCUUCC
rnacentral:lncRNA from 1 species